CCGCCGACUUUGUUGUGGUCGAUCAAGCAACCGGCCAUGUUUGAUUUUUGCUGAUGCAGUCUUCAGUUGCAAGUUUUCCGGGAUUUUUCAACAGUUUCGGGUUUCGCAUUUAGUAAGCGGAAGACAUCGGGGUGGCCGUCCAAGUAAGAUGGAAAUGGACUUGGCUGGGGCGCAAUUUACAAGCAAGCGGCAAUUCAUUUCUGCAUAAUCCUGCGUGAUUUGCCUCAGAUCUGCGGACCCGCAUAUUCCGUGCCAACACCGACACCGGACCAAAAUAUAUCAGCCUGAAGCAUCCACAUGCAUUGUCCACUAGAUUCUUUUCAUGCGCAGCUGGAAGUACCUGGAGAUUGAUGAGGAACAGUGCUUGCCGAUACCAUCAGCUUCAACAGAUCGACCUCCCUCUGAAGAAAUGCUAAUUAUACACCUUCGGGCGUCGGAGCCGGACCAAACUGGCAUUCCGCUUUUGCAUCAUCCUGUUCCCCCGCAACCGUUACCGUCAACGGAGCAGUAAAAUGUGACAAGACAGGAAUUGUGGUGGCCCAUGCAAUGUUUCCAUCCGGCGGAAAGUUCGGGCGGAUUGAUAAUGGAGCAAUAUGCCCUAUGAAAAAGAUACGAGGUGCAAUGACCAGAUCAAAGCCACGGUGCCGUAAGGAAUCUCACAUUUGCGACAGUAAAUUUCCUUCGUUGUGAAGAUUUCACGUUACAGCACGUUGACCGCAAUCUGCGUGGGAUCCUGUGGAACGAUAUUCAUCGAAUAGUGCAACGGGAAUAUAUAUCUACUUGGUGGCAAAGUUGUGUAAAUGGUGAUUGCUGUUGGCAGUAAAUUGUGAGGAUCAUUCAACGUCAAGGAAGGGAACGGCAACUAGUACAACAAGGCAAAAGCAAGGAUGCUACGUACGACUAUUUUUCUCGAAGAGGCCUCAACAUCACUUCAAGCAUCAUUAGCACAUGCAUUCUACAAGCGAAAGCACGAUAACCUUGACGAUUCGGUAUACCUUUGCGGCCAACGAAUAGCAUGGGUUGAGGAAGAGUUGCAGAUCUUGUUCACAAAUCAGAAUCCAUCGAAGUGAGCUGAAGUGACAAAUGUUCCAAGGGCGCUUAGCUUGUUUGUAGUUAAACGUUAAAGCAACUUGACGGUGCCAGCUGCUUCCAACCAGAAUGCCGAUUUACUAGAAUGCGCGCUCAUGACGGGCCAUUCGUGGCAGUUUGUGGUGUUACAAAAUUAGCAAUUUACGUAAUUUAAACAUGACCCAUGAGUACGAUAAAUUAUGAACAGUUUGACCACCCAUAUCUCGAUAUCGAACCAAAAAUUCAGCAAAAAUGGUCGAGAACGCAUCGAUAUAGGGAUUUAUAAAGGUAAAGGAAAGUUGAGGUAGGAGAAGAUAGAAAAAUUGAGAACAAUGAAAAUAGUCAACAUCGUAUUUAAAAGCAAUAAAUUGUACAAAUUUUAUUAACAUUUUUUUUUAUAUUUUUUAAUGUUGGAACAUAAACAAUAAAAUAAAUAGCAAUAAACUUCA